ACGAACGCUGGCGGCGUGCUUAACACAUGCAAGUCGAACGGAAAGGCCCUGCUUGCCGGGUACUCGAGUGGCGAACGGGUGAGUAACACGUGGGUGAUCUGCCCUGCACUUCGGGAUAAGCCUGGGAAACUGGGUCUAAUACCGGAUAGGAGCCAUUUUUAGUGUGAUGGUUGGAAAGUUUUUUCGGUGUAGGAUGAGCUCGCGGCCUAUCAGCUUGUUGGUGGGGUAAUGGCCUACCAAGGCGGCGACGGGUAGCCGGCCUGAGAGGGUGGACGGCCACAUUGGGACUGAGAUACGGCCCAGACUCCUACGGGAGGCAGCAGUGGGGAAUAUUGCACAAUGGGCGCAAGCCUGAUGCAGCGACGCCGCGUGGGGGAUGACGGCCUUCGGGUUGUAAACUCCUUUCGCUAGGGACGAAGCUUUUGUGACGGUACCUAGAUAAGAAGCACCGGCUAACUACGUG
rnacentral:rRNA from 1 species